GACAGAGGCCCCGAGCGUUAGGCGGAAUCACUGGGCUUAAAGCGCGUGUAGGCGGAGGGCUAAGUACCUUGUGAAAUCCCCGGGCUCAACCUGGGAACUGCAUUUGUGACUGCACGGCUAGAGUGUGUCAGAGGGGGGUAGAAUUCCACGUGUAGCAGUGAAAUGCGUAGAUAUGUGGAGGAAUACCGAUGGCGAAGGCAGCCCCCUGGGAUAACACUGACGCUCAUGCACGAAAGCGUGGGGAGCAAACAGG
rnacentral:rRNA from 1 species